GUAGGUGGCAAGCGUUGUCCGGAAUUAUUGGGCGUAAAGCGCGCGCAGGCGGUUCUUUAAGUCUGAUGUGAAAGCCCACGGCUCAACCGUGGAGGGUCAUCGGAAACUGGAGAACUUGAGUACAGAAGAGGAAAGCGGAAUUCCACGUGUAGCGGUGAAAUGCGUAGAGAUGUGGAGGAACACCAGUGGCGAAGGCGGCUUUCUGGUCUGUAACUGACGCUGAGGCGCGAAAGCGUGGGGAGCAAACAGGAUUAGAUACCCUGGUAGUCCACGCCGUAAACGAUGAGUGCUAAGUGUUAGGGGGGUUUCCGCCCCCCUUAGUGCUGCAGCUAACGCAUUAAGCACUCCGCCUGGGAGUACGGCCGCAAGGCUA
rnacentral:rRNA from 1 species